UAUCAAAAAGAAUCCGAAGGUAAUACCUUCGUACGUAAUUAUUUCCUGUGAAUUUCAAAAUCCCCAAGUAAUUUACUUAGGGAUUUAAAUUUCGCAGGUAAAUAACUUGCGAUUUUUCUUGCAAAAAACACCAAAAAUAUCCCAAAUUUUUUCCAAUUUAUUCGCAAGUAAAUCCGUGUAAAGAUAUUCUAAUUAAUCUUUAAAAAUUUCUUGUAAAUAAUAUUAAUUAUUAUUUCCCAGUUACAUCUAACACCACUCACCCCACUGCCCACCCAUUUAUUGUUAGGUACACAAGACUUUUCACAUUAAUUAGUUAAUGAGGGAAACUCCAUUAUUCUUCAUAUAUAGGACCGUCUCGUAUUAACUAGCAGACGAUGACUUCUAAGUCUUUAAGCCAAAUUCAUGAUAUGCUUGAAGUUUGAUUCAUCAAUUACUAGUGAUUACGAUAAGGAAUGCUACUCUUUCUAUUUCAUGCUUCUUCUAUAUGCUUAUUGCACUUUUUUUUUCAAUUUUUUUUCUAUAAAUGAACUAUGUUGCUCAGGCUCUCCUAAAAUAUGAUAAUGUUGCACCAAUGUUGGUUCCUUAAAAAAUACACAACUUUUGAAGAAUCUAACACGUACCUGUUGACAUUUUAAAAUAAUCUAAGUAACAUAGUUUUUAAGAUAGUACUAGCUUUGAUGCACGUGCAUUGCACAUGAAUGCUAAAUCAUGUAGUACACUAUAUUUUAAAUUAAAUAAAUAAAUAUAAUAUAACAUAUUAUAAAUUAUAGAAAAAUAUACUAAAUUAAGUGUUUUAAGUUGAAAAUAUUAUAGCAAUUUAACAUUAGUAUAGAUGGAUAGGUAGAAAUUUGAACUCCUAUUUUAAGUCAUUCUUGUCUAACUUUCCAUCAACAUCUCUUCUUCUAUUUUCCACAAUACUUUUCAAAGAGAGAAACUAUUGUAUGACCAAGUCAAUUGAGAAAAAUAAAAAUAAAUGAGCAAUAAAGACAUGAUGUUACUCCAUUUCAUCUUACAUAUUAUGACAAGAAGGGACACUUUAAUCAAGUGAAACCAAGUUGUAUGAAUGCAAUAAAUUUUAGUGCAAUUUUCUACGGAAUUUAUAUAAUCAUAAAAAGUCAAGACGUGUCAUUGAACCAAUUAUGAGAACAGUUAGGGUACGUUCGGGAUAGAGAAACCAAUCGUUAGAAUGCAAUAAACUUUUAUGGAAUUUAAUUUAUACAAUAUUCCGAGUUAGUGAUUAGUUGUCUCUUCUGCUAUUUCAAACUUGUUAGGUACCCAAUAGUUUUCAAUCACAUUAAGCUAAUGAGGGAAAAUCCAUCAAUAUUCCAUUCCACCAAAGGAAAUAAGGGAUACGGUACCAACAUGGGUAAGUGGUGCACUCGGGUUCGAGCCCUGGGUAUGGAGAAAAUUUUGUUGGGAGCGCCACCCCCAAAUGGGCCCUGCAGAGCGCGAUCCGAAUUUAGUCGGAACUCCAAUGUGGGCUCCAGACACCGGGUGGAAAACCAAAAAAAAAGAGGAUACGGUAAUGUAACUAGCGGACGAUGACUUGUAAGCCUUGAAGCCAAAGGGGAAAAAGAUUAUGAUAAUCGGGAUUGAUGUACAAUUGAAUCACAAAGUUGAAGAAAGAAAAAGUUUAGAAAAACUGAAUCACAAAGUUCAUUUCGAGGUCAUUAACUAUCGCUGCAGUGUGUGUUAUGCAAGAUGAUGUGAAGUUGGUCCCAUUAUGUGGAAAAAUUUUCUGCAGAACUUCUAAGAAAUUUCCAAUGACGGAAACUAUUGCUUGACUAAGUCAAGUGAGGAAAAAAAUGAAGAAUAAUUAAAGACAUGAUUUAAUUUUUUUUCUUUUUCUUUUAUUUGCUUUUUAUUCAAAAUUUUGUUUGAUAUGUGUCUUAAUUUUCUGCAUAAUUAGCAUGUUUUGAAUAACUUGGUGAAGAUCAUUUUAUGAGAAAUUUCCAAGACUUUUCAUAUUUAGUUAAUGAGGGAAACUCCAUCUAUCUGAUACAGUUCAAACAUGAAGAGAUGGAGAAUAACCAAAGUAGUAGAGAGGCUGUUUUCGUAGACCACUACAAGAAAAAUGCGAAUUAUAUUGGGAUUUUACUGGGGAUUAUUAAUGAAAAUUCGCAGGAAAAUAUGUUUCCUGGAAACAUAUUUAAAACCUUCGUAGGUAAUUAUUUCCUGUGAAUUUCAAAAUCCCCAAGUAAUUUACCUAGGGAUUUAAAUUUCGCAGGUAAAUAACGUGCGAAUUUUCUUGCAAAAAACACCAAAAAUAUCCCAAAUUUUUUCCAAUUUAUUCGCAAGUAAAUCCACGUAAAGAUAUUCUAAUAAAUCUUUAAAAAUUUCUUGUAAAUAAUAUUAAUUAUUAUUUCCCAGUUACAUCUAACACCACUCACCCCACUGCCCACCCAUUUAUCUUGCAUACCAUUUUUCAUACCAUUCAUCACAUACCACUUGAACACAAUUUUAAUUCCCC
rnacentral:lncRNA from 1 species